GAGUGGUUCAGACGUUUCCAAGAUGGCCGAGAAAAUGUCGCUAUUGACGAACGUUCUGGGAGACCCGCAACCAGCAGAACUGGUAGAAGGUCGAAGCGCCUCUGAUGUGCAAAUCGAUCGUCGGAACCGGGUGUAGAGGCGAAACCAAUCGAGCCGUCUAGUAGCUGGUUCCCUCCGAAGUUUCCCUCAGGAUAGCUGGCGCCAGCGGGAGAACGACACGCAAUUCCAUCCGGUAAAGCGAAUGACUGGAGGCCCCGGGGACGUUAACAGCCUCGAUCUGUUAUCGAUCUCGGAACCGGGCGAAACGCAAGGUUCUUUUGUUUGCAGCUGUGAAAGUCAUAUUUAGGUUUCCAAGGAAGUUUUAUAUAUAUAUACAUAUACACACGCGCUCAAACACACACUCCCUCACACACGCACACACACUCACACAGACACACAUGCACAAACACACCCCUCACACACACACACACACACGCGCGCGCAAACACACACAAACGCAUACAUAUACCGUCACACAAACACACACAAACGCAUACAUACACCGUCACACAAACACAUACACACACUCUCUCUCUCUCUCUCUCUCUCUCUCUCUCUCUCUCUCACACACACACACACACACACACACAAUUGUGUUCGGCCAAGCGUUACAAGUUGCAAUAGCAAUGAAACUAUUUGAAUUUAUUGUUCUUUAUCGCCGAAGCUGAACGUGUUUUGGAAGCAACUCGUGUCU
rnacentral:ncRNA from 1 species